UCAAAUCCAGCAACGCACACCCUUGAGCUACUCAUAAAGCAUAUUUCCUUCAGAUCUGGCAAAGAGAAAACCAUUCACGGCGGUAGGAGAAGGAAGCUGGCUAAAACAAACCCUCAGCCACCGAUAUCCAGGAAAGGAACGCCCGUGAUUAGCCAUCUAGGAUCUGGCCAAAGAUCCACCGUUAAUUGCAAAGUGGUGAACCCACCAAUCCGAAGCUUAACUUCCGCCGUAAUCAUAUCUUAACUU
rnacentral:lncRNA from 1 species